ACGUACCACUGGUUUACCGGUUGUCCCGCCAGGGGCACCGCCGGGUAUCUAAGUACGGAUCGGAUAAGUGCUGAAAGCAUCUAAGUACGAAGCCGGCCUCAAGAUUAGAUCUCCCUCAAGGGUGGUUAUAGACGAUGACCUUGAUAGGCCACAGGUGUAAGGGCGGCGACGUCCGAGCCGAGUGGUACUAAUAGCCCGGGACUUUCCUCA
rnacentral:rRNA from 1 species